UACGGAGGGUGCAAGCGUUGUUCGGAAUCACUGGGCGUAAAGCGCACGUAGGCGGCCCAGCAAGUCGGGUGUGAAAGCCCUCGGCUUAACCGAGGAAGUGCAUUCGAAACUACUGAGCUUGAAUACUGGAGAGGAUCGCGGAAUUCCCGGUGUAGAGGUGAAAUUCGUAGAUAUCGGGAGGAACACCAGUGGCGAAGGCGGCGAUCUGGACAGAUAUUGACGCUGAGGUGCGAAAGCGUGGGGAGCAAACAGG
rnacentral:rRNA from 1 species